GCCGGGUGCAGGGGCGCAUGCCUGUAGUCCCAGCUGCUUCGGAGGCGGAGGCAGGAGGGUUGCAAGUUCAGGCCCAGUCUCAGCAGUUUAGGGAGACAGCCACAACACCCUGCUCUU
rnacentral:sRNA from 1 species